rnacentral:rRNA from 1 species
CCUGCCCCGUGAACUAAUUCAACGGCCGCGGUAUCUUGACCGUGCAAAGGUAGCAUAAUCAAUUGUUCUUUAAAUAAGGACUAGUAUGAACGGCAUCACGAGGGUUUAACUGUCUCCCUAUUUUAAUCAAUGAAAUUGAUCCCCCCGUGAAGAAGCGGGGAUAUAACUAUAAGACGAAAAGACCCCAUGGAGCUUUAAACUUAUUUUCAAUUACCAAAACCAAAACAUACACCCGGUAAAAAUGAUAAUCGUUUUCGGUUGGGGCGACCCUGGAGAAAAACAAAUCCUCCAAGCUGAAUAAAUUAAAAUUUAAUGUUAGAGUAACAACUCAAACAAUCAAAACCUUGACAAAAUGACCCAGAAUUCAUCUGAUCAGCGAACCAAGUUACCCUGGGGAUAACAGCGCAAUCCAUUUCAAGAGCCCUUAUCGACAAAUGGGUUUACGACCUCGAUGUUGGAUCGGGGUAUCCUAGCAG